rnacentral:rRNA from 1 species
GUGCCAGCCGCCGCGGUAAUACGUAGGUGGCAAGCGUUGUCCGGAUUUACUGGGCGUAAAGCGUGUGUAGGCGGAUAUUUAAGUGAGAUGUGAAAUCCCCGGGCUUAACUUGGGGGCUGCAUUUCAAACUGGAUGUCUUGAGUGCAGGAGAGGAAAGCAGAAUUCCUAGUGUAGCGGUGAAAUGCGUUGAUAUGAGGGAGAAUACCUGUGGCGAAGGCGGCUUUCUGG